rnacentral:lncRNA from 1 species
UUCAAGUCGAUUGGGGUCAAGCCGCCGAAGGGGAUCCUCCUCUUCGGGCCGCCUGGCUCUGGGAAGACUCUGAUUGCCCGGGCGGUGGCGAACGAGACGGGGGCGUUCUUCUUCUGCAUCAACGGCCCCGAGAUCAUGUCGAAGCUGGCUGGAGAGAGCGAGAGCAACCUCAGGAAGGCGUUCGAAGAGGCGGAGAAGAACGCGCCGUCGAUCAUCUUCAUCGACGAGCUCGACUCGAUCGCCCCGAAGAGAGAGAAGACCCACGGAGAGGUUGAGAGGCGGAUCGUCUCUCAGCUGUUGACCUUGAUGGACGGCCUCAAGUCCCGAGCCCAUGUGAUCGUGAUCGGGGCGACCAAUCGGCCCAACAGCAUCGACCCAGCUCUGCGGAGGUUCGGCAGGUUUGACCGGGAGAUUGACAUCGGCGUCCCGGACGAGAUCGGACGGCUCGAAGUCCUCCGCAUCCACACCAAGAACAUGAAGCUCUCCGACGACGUGGGUUCCCUUUACUGAGACCUGCGGCGGCCUUCUCUCCGUGAUUCUUUGGAGUUGAACUUGGAAGGAGGAGCUGAAGGCUGUUCCUCGUUGCAGGUUGACCUGGAAAGGAUCUCCAAGGACACCCAUGGCUACGUCGGCGCCGACCUGGCGGCUCUCUGCACCGAGUCGGCUCUCCAGUGCAUCAGAGAGAAGAUGGACAUCAUCGACCUGG